UACGUAGGGGGCAAGCGUUGUCCGGAUUUAUUGGGCGUAAAGAGCGUGUAGGCGGCCAGACAGGUCCGUUGUGAAAACUAGAGGCUUAACUUCUAGACGUCGAUGGAAACCGUCUGGCUAGAGUCCGGAAGAGGAGAAUGGAAUUCCUGGUGUAGCGGUGAAAUGCGCAGAUAUCAGGAAGAACACCCGUGGCUAAGGCGGUUCUCUAGUACGGUACUGACGCUGAGACGCGAAAGCGUGGGGAGCGAACAGG
rnacentral:rRNA from 1 species